rnacentral:misc_RNA from 1 species
GCGAUACGUAAUGUGAAUUGCAGAAUUCAGUGAAUCAUCGAAUCUUUGAACGCACCUUGCGCUCCUUGGUAUUCCUUGGAGCAUGCCUGUUUGAGUAUCAUGAAAUCUUCAAAGUAAAUCUUUUGUUAACUCAAUUGGUUUCUACUUUGGUAUUGGAGGUCUUUGCAGCUUCACACCUGCUCCUCUUUGUUCAUUAGCUGGAUCUCAGUGUUAUGCUUGGUUCCACUCGGCGUGAUAAGUUAUCUAUCGCUGAGGACACUGUAAAAGGUGGCCAAGGUAAAUGCAGAUGAACCGCUUCUAAUAGUCCAUUGACUUGGACAAUACUUUUAUGAUCUGAUCUCAAAUCAGGUAGGACUACCCGCUGAACUUAAGC